rnacentral:rRNA from 1 species
GAUGAACGCUGGCGGCGUGCCUAAUACAUGCAAGUCGAGCGAACAGACGAGGAGCUUGCUCCUCUGACGUUAGCGGCGGACGGGUGAGUAACACGUGGAUAACCUACCUAUAAGACUGGGAUAACUUCGGGAAACCGGAGCUAAUACCGGAUAAUAUAUUGAACCGCAUGGUUCAAUAGUGAAAGACGGUUUUGCUGUCACUUAUAGAUGGAUCCGCGCCGCAUUAGCUAGUUGGUAAGGUAACGGCUUACCAAGGCGACGAUGCGUAGCCGACCUGAGAGGGUGAACGGCCACACUGGAACUGAGACACGGUCCAGACUCCUACGGGAGGCAGCAGUAGGGAAUCUUCCGCAAUGGGCGAAAGCCUGACGGAGCAACGCCGCGUGAGUGAUGAAGGUCUUCGGAUCGUAAAACUCUGUUAUUAGGGAAGAACAAAUGUGUAAGUAACUAUGCACCUCUUGACGGUACCUAAUCAGAAAGCCACGGCUAACUACGUG